UACGUAGGGUGCGAGCGUUAAUCGGAAUUACUGGGCGUAAAGCGUGCGUAGGCGGUUGUCUAAGUUUGGUGUGAAAUCUCCCGGCUUAACUGGGAGGGUGCGCCGAAAACUGGGUGACUGGAGUGUCGGAGAGGUAAGCGGAAUUCCUGGUGUAGCGGUGAAAUGCGUAGAGAUCAGGAGGAACACCUGUGGUGUAGACAGCUUACUGGACGAUAACUGACGCUGAGGCACGAAAGCGUGGGUAGCAAACAGG
rnacentral:rRNA from 1 species